GAGGCUGUGGCUUAGUGGUAGGGUGCUUGCCUUGUAGGCACAAGGCCCUAGGUUUGAUUCAUAGCACUGUCA
rnacentral:tRNA from 1 species